CUGCCAGUAGUGUAUGCUUCUCCUAAAGACUAAGCCAUGCAUGCCUUCGAAUAAGAGGAAGCAAUUCUCUCUGAAUCUGCGAACGGCUCCGCAAACCAGUUGUAAACUAUAGCAAGCAAGCUUGGGGUCGGCUUUCACGAGCUGGCCCUGGGCGAUAUGGAUAACCCUGGUAAUUCUGAGGCUAAUACAUGACCGUAACUCCUGGCGGACUGGGCUUCGGCCUGGGAAGCCGGGGGACGUGCGAUUUGAAGCUUGGUAACACCGGGAAAGGGCGCACGUCCAGAUCACGCUAAAAAGGUCGGGUUCCCUUCGGGGGGCCUGCCCCAGUGACUCUUGCUGUGUGCUUCUGACCUAUCAACUAGACGGCAGCGUAAGGGACAUGCUAUGGUGACAACGGGUACAGAGGAUUAGGGUUCGAUCCUGGAGAGUGGGCCUGAGAGAUUGCUCAUACUUCUAAGGAAGGCAGCAGGCGCGCAACGUUCCCCUUGGGCAAUGCCCGAGGGCGUUAGGGGACAUAUGAAUGCCUGCCCAUUGGGUGGGCAAUUCAAAUGGGUCUGUUGUAAACAGGCUCUCGAGUAACAAUUAGAGGACAAGUCUGGUGCCAGCACCCGCGGUAAUUCCAGCUCUAAUAGCAUACGUUAAAGUUGUUGCGGUUAAAACGCUCGUAGUCGGCUACAGACCGUCAGAAGCCUGAACAGGGAGCCUGGGUCUGCUGCCUUUCGGGGCGCGCCGGGUGACUAGCGAGGGUGGGCGGCGGUCAAUCGUGCAUCAGGCUGUACCUUCGGGUUCACAGGGCUAGGUCCGCUUUCGGGCGGGCUUGGUUCGGCUUGGUGUGCCAAUUACCAUGAUUAAACUGGGGUGAUCAAAGCAGGUCGUUCGACCUUGCACAGCGCAGCAUGGCAUAAACCAAGCCGGUCCGGUCUUUCAAGCGAGGCUGGGCUGGCAGUAGCAAAAGGGGUGUUCGAGGGUGACCGAAUUGCCGGGCGAGUGGUGAAAUACGUUGACCCUGGCAAGUCGACCAAAGGCGAAAGCAGUCAUCAAGGGCACGCCCGUUGAUCAAGAGCGAAAG
rnacentral:rRNA from 1 species